CCUACGGGCGGCAGCAGUGGGGGAUAUUGCACAAUGGGGGCAACCCUGAUGCAGCGACGCCGCGUGAGCGAUGGAGUACUUCGGUAUGUAAAGCUCUGUCAGCAGGGAAGAGAAUGACGGUACCUGACCAAGAAGCCCCGGCUAACUACGUGCCAGCAGCCGCGGUAAUACGUAGGGGGCAAGCGUUAUCCGGAUUUACUGGGUGUAAAGGGAGCGUAGGCGGCAGGGCAAGUCUGGGGUGAAAGCCCGGGGCUCAACCCCCGGACGGGAUUGGGAACUGGCCCGCUCGAGUGCCGGAGGGGCAGGCGGAAUUCCUAGGGUAGCGGGGAAAUGCGGAGAUAUUAGGAGGAACACCAGUGGCGAAGGCGGCCUGCUGGACGGUGUACUGACGCUGAGGCUCGAAAGCGUGGGGAGCAAACAGGAUUAGAUACCCCAGUAGUC
rnacentral:rRNA from 1 species